GGCUCUGGGAAGAUGCAUUCUAGAGAGAUGGGAGUAAUCAGUAGUCUUUAUGCCCCUAGGCCUCCCCUUUUUCGGAUUUCUUAUCUUUCUGAUUCCCACAGAACCCAUCCUAACAGUUUGUCUUUAUCAUAGAUUGUCAUCUCCCUGGGAUUGAAAUGGUAUAAUUGGUCUUUUCCAAACAAGCUGGAACAGAGUAUUUAAUAAUAUAAGCACUUCAGCUUGGAGAAGUCAUUCACCAAGUCAUGAAGAUACUGAGAUAGUCUUUUGAGAUGCCAGUGUGUGAAGAAACUGAGACCUUCUUUGAACAACCAGUACUACCUUGCUAGCCUUGUGAUUUUUCUCACCUUGGAAGCAGAUCAUCUAGCUCUGGUUCAUUCUGAUAACUUUAGCUAUGAUUGGAAUCUUGACUGCAGCCUCCUGAGACUUCUGCCUAAACUCUGGGGCUAUAUGCGGCCUUAAAUGUCAUGCACUGAGGGACAAGAGAAAAAGGAUGAGAAAAAAGGACACCGGAGGCAAACAGGAGCAGUGGUGAGAAUUUGUAAUACAAACGCUUCUUAAUUCAAUAGAAGUCAUCCAUUCUUUAUGCACUAUGAGCUUCACCUUGUCAUCUUUGUGACCACAUCAUUUUGGAAGCGGAAACCAGUUCCAGUAAUGCUGAUGACUUUAGCCAAGUGACAUCUUGAUUCCAGCCUCAAGAAAUAACCCUGGGCCAGAAUUUGUGAUCCACAAAAA